GGCACUGUAGCCAAGUGGUUACGGCGACAGAUUAGAAUCAUUCAAUAUCUGUUCCUCUUUGAGGGCGUAGGUUCGAAUCCUGCCAGUGUCG
rnacentral:tRNA from 1 species